rnacentral:rRNA from 1 species
GGAAUCUUCCACAAUGGACGCAAGUCUGAUGGAGCAACGCCGCGUGAGUGAAGAAGGGUUUCGGCUCGUAAAGCUCUGUUGUUAAAGAAGAACGUGGGUAAGAGUAACUGUUUACCCAGUGACGGUAUUUAACCAGAAAGCCACGGCUAACUACGUGCCAG